CUACUUUACCGUUACAACCAAGUCAUCCUAUACCCCCAAUCACAGCCCCCACCUUCACCCUACAAUUAGAGCAUACACUCUACCUCACUCCACCCACACCACACACAAUCACCCAGUACAAUCUUCCCCAACAUCCCUCUACCAAACAUUCAAAAACUGUUCAUCCCCUCUUCCUUAUAACCUAUGUCAAAGAAAUUCACGCCUCGUAAAAUUUUCAGAAUUGUCAAAUAAACUUUAUCUGAUUAAUUUUCAAGUCCCAUCGUUCAAUAUAUUAAGUCAAAUCCAACCGCGUAAAAUUGUUAAAAGCCCGACGUGGCUACGGGUGGAUCUGCUCAAUCCAAUUAUCAAAAAGAGAAAAAAUCUCAAGCAAACAAAAGAGGGACUCCGACAAAUAAGAAGGAAAAAAUUGUUGAAACCCCUUUCGACUCUGAUUCUGACUUUUGUUAAUAUUACAAAAAAGAGAAAAAUAAAAAAAUCGACAAAUGUCGAUGUUUCUCAAUCUUCUAAACCUUCAAGACCAUCAACAAGGAACUCAACAAAAAACAUGAAAUCAGAGAUACCAUUGGUCAAGAAAGACAAAAAAAAGUUGUUAGUCAUAAAUUCAGAAACAUUGUGUUUACCAACGAAGAGUUAAAUGGCAUGGAUCAAUAUAUUCUAAAUAAAUUUUCAAGUAACCAUGAUACAAAAGAUUAAGAAACAUCAGAAAAACAUAGUGUUCACGUCGACAAAAAGUAUUUAGAGUUGAAGACAGAGAUUGCGGAGGUUGACAAACACAUGGUUGAAAUGAAAACAUAUGCCGAUUACUUGACAAAGCUUAAAAUAUAGAUUAGGUCGUCAAGAGGUCAACCAACAUCAAUUAUACACCAACAGGAUGAUGAUCAACAAAAUUUUGAAGAAUGUGAUAAAUAUUCAAUGGAUCAGCCUUCUGUCUAAAUGGGUGAAUACGUUCGUAUUUCAAAUACAGAUGAUGAAGAUCAGAAGUAAAUUGACAAAAAUAUUGAUGCUGCUCUCAAUGCUGAAAUUUCUGCAUCAUCAAAUUCAAAACCACCAGCAUCGGAGGAUUAUCCUGACUUAACUAUGACACAAAUUUUUAAACUUGAUCCAAUUCUUAAUUCUAAUAUAACUUCAGAUGUGCAAGUAAGAAAUAGGACGCCCGACAAGUAUGACACAUCUCCGUGCAUUCGAUGGUCGGAAGAUGAAAGCAGUUCAAAAAGAGUUUUUAUUUUCUUUGGAAUCAGACAUUCGUUUAAAAGUCACAAUAGGUUUGAGGUUGCAGCUGAGUUGAUUGAUGAGUUUAACAAAUAGGUUUUCAAAGGUGUUUCUUCUUGGCGUGGCAGGACUGUUUAUUUAUGGCAUGGGAUAAUAACAUUGAGAAACAAUGGAGACAGGUGAACUGCGACAUGUGAUGCAUUCCUCCCGAUCACGAUGUUGGACAGUGCAUUAGAGGUUUCAGACUGCUUGCUAACAUUCUUUGGGACAGAGUUGACAAAGUCAUUAUUCCUAUUAUUAUUAGUGAUAAGUUUUAUCGACUGUAGGUUGUAUGCCGAAUAAAGCUUAGAUGUCUACAUGUAUAUGAUUCGAGGAGGGAAGGAUCUGUUUGCACCAUCAAAGUCAAUGAAAUUGUGGAUGAACUUGCAACAAUGAUACCACUAUUUUUGCAAAGCAUAGGAUUUUAUGGCAAAAAGUUUAAUUUGUAUUCUAAUAAACUACCUACCUAUGAAAAAAAGUCUCAAACCGA